CAAUAGCGUAUAUUAAAGUUGCUGCAGUUAAAAAGCUCGUAGUUGAAUUUUUGCUUGCCGCCGAUGUCGGAACUUCCGUACGUUCGGCGGCGUGCAUCCUUGGGUGGAACCUGUGUGGCAUUAGGUUGUCGUGCAGGGGAUGCUCAUCGUUUACUGUGAAAAAAUUAGAGUGUUCAAAGCAGGCUUACGCCGUUGAAUAUAUUAGCAUGGAAUAAUAAGAUAGGACCUUGGUACUAUUUUGUUGGUUUGCGCACCGAGGUAAUGAUUAACAGGGACAGUUGGGGGUAUUCGUAUUCCAUUGUCAGAGGUGAAAUUCUUGGAUUCCUGGAAGACGAACUACUGCGAAAGCAUUUACCAAGGAUGUUUUCAUUAA
rnacentral:rRNA from 1 species